rnacentral:rRNA from 1 species
CACUCCUACGGGAGGCAGCAGUGGGGAAUUUUGGACAAUGGGCGAAAGCCUGAUCCAGCAAUGCCGCGUGAGUGAAGAAGGCCUUCGGGUUGUAAAGCUCUUUUGUCAGGGAAGAAACGGUGAAAGCUAAUAUCUUUUGCUAAUGACGGUACCUGAAGAAUAAGCACCGGCUAACUACGUGCCAGCAGCCGCGGUAAUACGUAGGGUGCAAGCGUUAAUCGGAAUUACUGGGCGUAAAGCGUGCGCAGGCGGUUUUGUAAGUCUGAUGUGAAAUCCCCGGGCUCAACCUGGGAAUUGCAUUGGAGACUGCAAGGCUAGAAUCUGGCAGAGGGGGGUAGAAUUCCACGUGUAGCAGUGAAAUGCGUAGAUAUGUGGAGGAACACCGAUGGCGAAGGCAGCCCCCUGGGUCAAGAUUGACGCUCAUGCACGAAAGCGUGGGGAGCAAACAGGAUUAGAAACCCUGGUAGUCCCAUGA